CCUACGGGUGGCAGCAGUGGGGAAUAUUGCACAAUGGGCGAAAGUCUGAUGCAGCAACGCCGCGUGAGCGAUGAAGGCCUUCGGGUCGUAAAGCUCUGUCCUCAAGGAAGAUAAUGACGGUACUUGAGGAUGAAGCCCCGGCUAACCACGUGCCAGCAGCCGCGGUAAUAGGUGGGGGGCUAGGGUUAUCCGGAAUUAUGGGGCGUAAAGGGUGCGUAGGUGGUUUCUUAAGUGAGUGGUGAAAGGCGACGGCUCAACCGUAGUAAGCCUUUGAAACUGUGAGACUUGAGUGCAGGAGAGGAAAGUGGAAUUUCUAGUGUAGCGGUGAAAUGCGUAGAGAUUAGAAGGAACACCAGUUGCGAAGGCGGCUCACCAGGCUGUAACUGACGCUGAGGCACGAAAGCGUGGGGAGCAAACAGGAUUAGAUACCCUUGUAGUC
rnacentral:rRNA from 1 species